rnacentral:piRNA from 1 species
AGGACUAGAAUGAGCUCACAGAACUCA